CAGGGAGACAACAAAAUGUUUAUAUUAUUAUUUUGUCACCUUAGGUCGAUCGGUAUCUCACGUUCUUAAUUAAUUAAGAAUUUCAUUUCCUAAGUUUUUCUAGGUCACACCCAUUAUUUUUCCUGGGCCAUUAGCUCAGGUGGUUAGAGCGCACCCCUGAUAAGGGUGAGGUCCCUGGUUCAAGUCCAGGAUGGCCCAUAUCUCUAUGUUGGGGGUAUAGCUCAGUUGGUAGAGCGCCUGCUUUGCAAGCAGGAUGUCAGCGGUUCGAGUCCGCUUACCUCCACUGAUUACCACCUCUUCCAUAAUCUGUAGAAAGGAAAAUUUUUGAGUUGUGAUCAUAAUUCUGAACGAAUCUAGCUUCCUAAUGAAAUCAUUAAGAUGCUGGACUCAUUGAAUUAAUUUCAUUGUUUUCAGAGAACCUUGACAACUGCAUAGAUUAUUUUUAAAGACAAUAAGCAUCUUUAUGAUGCAGAUUUAUUAUUUGUGCGAAUGCAUUAAUAACAAUUCUAUUAAGCUGAUGCUUCAAUUUUGAAGUUAUU
rnacentral:tRNA from 1 species